rnacentral:other from 1 species
UUGACUCUGCGGUUCUCGUGAUGAGUCAGCACACGGGGCGAGCCAACACCUCAAAAACGGGAGCUGGACCAAGUGAUGUGGAUGUGGUAGCCCUUCGGGCAAGACGGAAGCGUCCAGUCCGCACCCACCUGCUUACGCAGGUUCGUACCCACUGACCACACGGUUCUGCGGAGUUAUU